rnacentral:rRNA from 1 species
CUACGGGGGGCUGCAGUGGGGAAUAUUGCACAAUGGGGGAAACCCUGAUGCAGCAACGCCGCGUGGAGGAUGACGCAUUUCGGUGUGUAAACUCCUUUUAUAUAGGAAGAUAAUGACGGUACUAUAUGAAUAAGCACCGGCUAACUCCGUGCCAGCAGCCGCGGUAAUACGGAGGGUGCAAGCGUUACUCGGAAUCACUGGGCGUAAAGCGCGCGCAGGCGGCCCCUUAAGUUGGAUGUGAAAGCCUACGGCUUAACCGUAGAACUGCAUCCAAAACUGAGGGGCUAGAGUCUGGGAGGGGAAGAUGGAAUUAGUUGUGUAGGGGUAAAAUCCGUAGAGAUAACUAGGAAUACCAAAAGCGAAGGCGAUCUUCUGGAACAGUACUGACGCUGAGGCGCGAAAGCGUGGGGAGCAAACAGGAUUAGAUACCCGGGUAGUC